AGCUCUGUGCAAUGGCAGUAUCAUAGCCAAUGAGUUUUAUUCGAGGUGUGAUUAUUGCCAAUUGACAACAGAAUAAGAGAUAGCG
ensembl:snRNA Gm25882 predicted gene, 25882